rnacentral:lncRNA from 1 species
AUUCUAAUUUUUUGGCCGCAAAAGGAAAAAAAGGGGAACGAUUAUGGCGGGGCAGUGACUAUGCUUCCUUAGGUCGUAUUUGAUGGCCCGAAAAUAUUUUAGGCGAUCGGGGUCUAGGGGUCCCGGGACCACGUUGAAGGCGUGGGGCACACGAAAAUAUGGGAAUCGGACGGAAUUCUAAUUUUUUGGCCGAAAAAUGCAAAAUGUGAGGAACGAUCAUGGCUGGGUGGUGACUAUGGUUCCUUUACUCGUAUUUAAUGGCCCAAAAAAUAUUUAGACAUUCCGAGUCCAGGGAGCCCGGCCCACUCGGAAGGUGUGGGCUAUAGCACACGAAAAUAUAGGAAUCGGAUGGAAUUCUAGUUUUUUCGUUGAAAAACACAAACAACUAAGAACGUUCAUGGUGAGGCGUGACUAUGGUUCCUUAGGUCAUAUUUGAUGGUCCGGAAAAAUUUUUGGCGAUCCGGCUCCGGGGGGCCCUACCUAAUGGGAAGGCGUGGGCAAUUAUAGCAUACGAAACUAUGGAAAUCGGGCGGAAUUCUAGUUUGUUGGCCGAAAAAUGCAAAAAGUGAGGAACGAUCAUGGCGGGGAGGUGACUAUGGUUCCAUAAAUGUUAUUUGAUGCCCCGAAAAAAAUUUAGGUGAUCCGAGUCCAGGGGACCCAGCCCACUCGAAAGGCAUGGGCUAUAGCACACGAAAAUAUGGGAAUCGGGCAGAAUUCUAGGUUUUUGGUCAAAAAACUCAAAAUUUGUGGAACGAUCAUGGCGGGGCGGUGACUAUGCUUCCUUAGGUCGUAUUUAAUGGCCUGGAAAUUUUUGAGACGUUCCGAGUCAGGGGGGCCCGGCCCACUCGGAAUGUGUGGGCUAUAGCACAAGAAAAUAUGGGAUUCUGGCGGAAAUCUAGUUUUUCGCUGAAAAACGCAAACAACUAGGAACGUUCAUGGCAUGGCGGUGACGACGAUUCCUUAGGUCGUAUUUGAUGGUCCGGAAAAAUUUUAAGUGAUCGGGGUCCGGGGGUCCCGGGACCACUCGGAAGGCGUGGGCUAUAGCACACGAAAAUAUGGGAAUCGUGCGGAAUUCGAAAUUUUUGGCCGAAAAAUGCAAAAAACUAGGAACGUUCAUGGCGGGGCAGUGACUAUGGUUCCUUAGGUCGUGUUUGAUGGAAUGGAAAAAUUUUAGGCGAUUGGGGUCCGGGGGUCCCGGGACCACUUGGAAGGCGUGGGCUAUAGCACACAAAAAUAUGAGAAUCAGGCGGAAUUCUAGUUUUUUGGCCAAAAAAUGCAAAAAAUGAGGAACGAUCAUGGCGGGAAGGGGACUAUGG